GGCCUCGCACUUAACAACCAGCCGGCCACCGACACUGGACUCAGUGACCUCCACAGGUUCGCACGACCACUCCCCAGGCUGAGAUGACACUACACCCAACUGAGCCACACGGCCAGGGCUGAGACUUGAAUUCUUGAAGGGAAAGUGACUGAAGGCAUUAAAAACAGGAAAAUCUUGCUGUGAAAAAAUCCAGCCGAAUUAAAUGGUGUGCCUGCAGGGACACAGUCUUUCACAGCCUCCCUCCCUCGUCGAGACCAGCACCGUGUUCCAGGGGUGGGAUGCUGUGCGGCACCAGGCGAGGCUGUGCUGCAACCGAG